rnacentral:rRNA from 2 species
CGUGCUUACCAUGCAGUCGAGCGGUAGGCCUUUCGGGGUACACGAGCGGCGAACGGGUGAGUAACACGUGGGUGAUCUGCCCUGCACUUCGGGAUAAGCCUGGGAAACUGGGUCUAAUACCGGAUAUGACCUCAGGUUGCAUGACUUGGGGUGGAAAGAUUUAUCGGUGCAGGAUGGGCCCGCGGCCUAUCAGCUUGUUGGUGGGGUAAUGGCCUACCAAGGCGACGACGGGUAGCCGACCUGAGAGGGUGACCGGCCACACUGGGACUGAGACACGGCCCAGACUCCUACGGGAGGCAGCAGUGGGGAAUAUUGCACAAUGGGCGAAAGCCUGAUGCAGCGACGCCGCGUGAGGGAUGACGGCCUUCGGGUUGUAAACCUCUUUCAGCAGGGACGAAGCGCAAGUGACGGUACCUGCAGAAGAAGCACCGGCUAACUACGUGCCAGCAGCCGCGGUAAUACGUAGGGUGCAAGCGUUGUCCGGAAUUACUGGG